rnacentral:tRNA from 1 species
GCCAUGGCUUAGUGGUAGAGCACCUAUUUGAAACGCAGAAGGUCCCAGGUUCAAUUCCUGGCAUCUCCA